AUAAUACUCCCUCCGUCUGGAAUUACUUGUCAUCAAAAUGGAUGUGUCUAGAACUAAAAUACAUCUAGAUACAUCCAUUUCAAUGACAAGUAUUUUCGGACGGAGGGAGUAGUAG
rfam:Triticum aestivum genome assembly, contig: Triticum_aestivum_CS42_TGACv1_scaffold_577861_7BL